AUUGAACGCUGGCGGCAUGCUUUACACAUGCAAGUCGAACGGUAACAGGUCUUCGGAUGCUGACGAGUGGCGAACGGGUGAGUAAUACAUCGGAACGUGCCUAGUAGUGGGGAUAACUACUCGAAAGAGUGGCUAAUACCGCAUGAGAUCUACGGAUGAAAGCAGGGGAUCGCAAGACCUUGUGCUACUAGAGCGGCCGAUGGCAGAUUAGGUAGUUGGUGGGAUAAAAGCUUACCAAGCCGACGAUCUGUAGCUGGUCUGAGAGGACGAUCAGCCACACUGGGACUGAGACACGGCCCAGACUCCUACGGGAGGCAGCAGUGGGGAAUUUUGGACAAUGGGCGCAAGCCUGAUCCAGCAAUGCCGCGUGCAGGAUGAAGGCCUUCGGGUUGUAAACUGCUUUUGUACGGAACGAAAAGCCCUGGGUUAAUACCCUGGGGUCAUGACGGUACCGUAAGAAUAAGCACCGGCUAACUACGUGCCAGCCGCCGCCGUAAUAC
rnacentral:rRNA from 1 species